ACAGUGAUGACCUGAAAUACCAAAGCUUGUUCAGGUGGUAGCUGGUUAUUUAUCAUAAAUCUUAGUCGAGUCAAGUUAUUUAUCAUAAGAAAUCUCUCCAGUGAAGGCACUCAAGCGAUACUCCGAAUCUUUCGCUCGUCUCCUUUCUGCAAGUUCCAUCUGCAGAUGUUUUACCUUUGCACAGGGAGAAAGAAGUGAGCCUCUGGGUCGUCUGCGCCUCUGCUGCAUCAUCUGAACAUGAGUCCUGAUGCGUUGCUCAAGCUCCCGGUCCCUUGCCUCCCUUAGGGCACACACAACAGGCAAAAAUACAAAUGAACACACACCUCACUGACUGCUCAACUUGUAGCGGAGGAAUUAAUCGCACUCAGUAUUUUCCUUUCCUGCAUGAUCUUGGCCUGGUUUCUCCAGUGCUGCAACAGCUCCUCGUUUCUAAGACAGACACACACCCCAGAGAUAAGGUG